AGUUGAUGAACUUGUAUUAAGUAUAUAUUUUGAAAAUAUAAUAAAGAAUUUAUAAUAUUCUAUUAACUU
rnacentral:tRNA from 1 species